UAUGUCUUCGGAUAUAGAGACCGGCGCACGGGUGCGUAACGCGUAUGCAAUCUACCUUUUACAGGGGAAUAGCCCAGAGAAAUUUGGAUUAAUGCCCCAUAGUAUAAUUGAAUGGCAUCAUUUAAUUAUUAAAGUCACAACGGUAAAAGAUGAGCAUGCGUCCCAUUAGUUAGUUGGUAAGGUAACGGCUUACCAAGACAAUGAUGGGUAGGGGUCCUGAGAGGGAGAUCCCCCACACUGGUACUGAGACACGGACCAGACUCCUACGGGAGGCAGCAGUGAGGAAUAUUGGACAAUGGGCGCAAGCCUGAUCCAGCCAUGCCGCGUGCAGGAAGACGGUCCUAUGGAUUGUAAACUGCUUUUAUACAGGAAGAAACACUCCGACGUGUCGGAGCUUGACGGUACUGUAGGAAUAAGGAUCGGCUAACUCCGUGCCAGCAGCCGCGGUAAUACGGAGGAUCCAAGCGUUAUCCGGAAUCAUUGGGUUUAAAGGGUCCGUAGGCGGUUUAAUAAGUCAGUGGUGAAAUCUGGUCGCUCAACAAUCAAACGGCCAUUGAUACUGUUAGACUUGAAUUAUAAGGAAGUAACUAGAAUAUGUAGUGUAGCGGUGAAAUGCUUAGAUAUUACAUGGAAUACCAAUUGCGAAGGCAGGUUACUACUUAUGGAUUGACGCUGAUGGACGAAAGCGUGGGGAGCGAACAGGAUUAGAUACCCUGGUAGUCCACGCCGUAAACGAUGGAUACUAGCUGUUGGAAGCAAUUUCAGUG
rnacentral:rRNA from 1 species